UGUGCCCAUGAUAUUGGGGCAAAGAGGAAGUGGCUAUUUCUACACUUGGUGUUCAGAAAUCAGUGAGCUCUAAGAAUGGUUUAUAGCCUGACAUU
ensembl:snoRNA